UACGGAGGGUGCAAGCGUUAUCCGGAUUCACUGGGUUUAAAGGGUGCGUAGGCGGAUUGGUAAGUCCGUGGUGAAAUCUCUAAGCUUAACUUGGAAACUGCCAUGGAUACUAUUAGUCUUGAAUAUUGUGGAGGUUAGCGGAAUAUGUCAUGUAGCGGUGAAAUGCAUAGAUAUGACAUAGAACACCAAUUGCGAAGGCAGCUCACUACGGGAAUAUUGACACUGAGGCACGAAAGCGUGGGGAUCAAACAGG
rnacentral:rRNA from 1 species